CCCCAUAAUUCUAGCCGCAGUUGGUGAUUUGCCACGGCUGUUUAAAUAAAAUUCUAUUCUAUUUAUUUUAUAAUUUUAUCUUCAGACCUGCCCAUCUCCAAUCUGAUGUCUGAAAAUACAUACGGUUUUAACGCCGAGUAAAAUGGUCUUGAAUCUGUAGGUUGUUACCUCAGGAAGACAUUUGUUCAAGGUCGUGGAGUUACUCCAUGUCCCUACAACACAGCGCACUGAGUCUCAUACGCAUCGCUGACGCAACAUUCAUGUAGUUGCCGACAGUUGCUUUCAGUGACCUAAGACGUCGCCCACGGUCUGUCUGCAAGAAUCGAAUGAAGUUGUUUGUAGUGUCUGUUAUGAGUGGAGUUGUGGAAAAUAAUCUGUUACAAGUUUGGUGUUCUUCGGUUACAAAAACCGUGCCAGUGUAUUUUUAUUUUAAUUUUUUGUAUUUACAAACUUAUUUUUUAAGCCUUCGUAACAAAUUUGUUCAUCACGUUGGAUAUGUUCUUAAAUAAACAAAGUACAAGUGGUGGUACUGCGUAAUCGUGUUCAUAGUUAUAAAGCACUCGAAAAAUAAUUUUUAGAUUGUACGGAUUUAUGGAGAUGACGGUGGUACUCCAUUAGGUCCUCCGUUGGGUUCAGAGAAGACAGCAAGUAAAUCCAAUCUGUACCGGUUAACUCAUCGGCUGAGAGACGAAGUAUCGUCGCCUGACCAAGCAGCGGGUAGCCAGCCAGGUGGUGACCUCUCUCGUCUCAAGAUGAAGACAGUUGAAGAGGGGCAACGGUUGUUACAAGGUAACACAGCAACGCCCGUCUGGUCUCAUCACACGAAACAUAGGACCCCAGCGAGCAGCAGGUUAUUCAGCGUUAACACGUCUGAUUUUUAAAUGAGACG